UAAUGCUUCAAAGGAUGGUUAUCAUU
rnacentral:piRNA from 1 species